rnacentral:rRNA from 1 species
UACAGAGGUCGCGAGCGUUGUUCGGAUUUACUGGGCGUAAAGGGCGCGUAGGCGGCGGAAUGUGUCGGAUGUGAAAUCUCCGGGCUCAACCCGGAAAGUGCGUCCGAAACUAUUCCGCUCGAGUGCGGGAGGGGGAAGGGGAAUAUAGGGUGUAGCGGUGAAAUGCGUUGAUAUCCUAUAGAACACCGGAGGCGAAGGCGCCUUCCUGGAACGCAACUGACGCUGAGGCGCGAAAGUCGGGGGAGCAAAC